GCUCUCGUCGUCCUGUUCCAGGGCUGCAUGGCGCAUUCGGGCCCCCCCUUCCUCAUACAACGGAUGUGAAAUAAAACCUCAGCUCGAGACAGUUUGCGGGAAGGGGUGGAGAGCCAGAGGAGAUUGGAAGAGCUCCCGUCACAUGAUCAACAUGAGAGCGAGACCCCAUCCCUUGUUCGGAGUGAGAGCCGCUUCAUUCCGGAAGGAUGGGAACGUUUAGAGGCUUCAAACAGAUAAGACCCCCCCCCACACCCCAUCGGUGUCCACAGAAAAGGAGGUGACCUGUCAGCCUCCCCAUUGACAGACCAAAUUGAUGGAUGAUGGCAGCUUGGUGUGGAGCUGGGCUGUAGGCUGAUUCCCGUAAGCUCCAUAGUGUCUGCCCCCUGGGAGGACCGACCAAGUAAAUGUCCGGGGGGGAAGUAACAGUGAAAUACAGGGCUGGACAUGGGUGGUGUGCCCCUUGAGAGAUGUUGCUAGAACAGAUUGGAAGGAGUGGCGGUCCAGUGUGUCUCCCUCUGCUGGCGUGUGGCAGAACUGCACCAAGUUCUCGACUGAAAUCCUUUCAGUUUGGUGAUUUCAGUCCUUUUGCUCAUAAAUUGACUUGGACCAAACCGGAGCACAAGCUAGGAGGUAACAUGGGCUGGACACCCACCCACACUGAAAGCUGACAGGCAGCAUGUUGGGCCACCCCCAACACCAGCAAGGACCCAAGAAGGCCCCCACCAAUCAGAAUCCAGCCUCAGACAAACCUGACACCUCCUACUUUAUUGAAACUAUUGUUUUCGACUCUUCGUGUUUAUUUGCACGUCAGUGUAUCUGCACUGCAGAUUGUUGUCGUUUUAAGAGUAAAUCUGUGAUGAAACUAACGCAGAGCAUCAUUUCCUGUGUCAGUUUACUGUGAAUUAUUGCCAUUUCAGUCUAUACAUAUUUCUCAAGCUCUGUACUCUCGGUGUAAUUAUUGCUUAUCAGCCCAUUAAGGCCAUCAUGAGCCAAGGAUUGAUCACCUUUCCUAGAUACCCCAGUCUGUCCCUUUUCCCCAGCCUGUGUCUGUCUCUCUCUCCAUAUCAGUAGCUCGUUAUUAAAAUAAACGUUGACAUCCAA